CAAGUGUCAUGGCGGGGGAGGGGCGAGACCGUGAUCAAAAUGGUUCUCCCAGGACAAGGCUAUCCCAUUGCACUUCGGAUGUGCUGACACCCGCAAUGUUCCCAAAUGCGGGAUGCUCAACUGCAACAUUUGUGGUGGUGAGGGACUGCGUUCCCGCU